rnacentral:rRNA from 1 species
AGCGAACGUUAGCGGCGCGCCUAACACAUGCAAGUCGCACGAGAAAGGGCUUCGGCCCCAGUAAAGUAGGCGCACGGGUGCGUAACACGUAGGCAAUCUACCUUUAGGCGGGGGAGUAACGUUUACGUAAAGAAGACGCUAAUACCGCAUGAGACCACGGACGCUUCGGCGACUGCGGUCAAAGCUGGCCUCUUCAUGAAAGACUAGCACCUAAGGACGAGCCUGCGGCCCAUCAUGCUAGUUGGUAGGGUAACGGCCUACCAAGGCGAAGACGGGUAGCUGGUCUGAGAGGAUGAUCAGCCACACUGGCACUGAAAC